GAACCGCCGCACAGCAGAGGGCUGUCUGGUCCUCUUAGUUUUUCCGUUUCUUUAGUUUUAGCUUAGGAUUUUGACUUUUCUUCUCGUAGGAAUUUUGGGUAGCCUUUAGCUUAGCAACUUUUGUUGACCCUUUUUUGGCCUUUUAGCUAGUUUGUUCUUACGCAUGGAAGAUGGCUGAAUAGCUGAGGCUUGUUCUUUGUUUUUCUUUGACUUUUCCUUUUGGUUUGCUUCCUGCGGACGCCCAGACCGAAGGAAAACUAUGAAGUCCCUUUUGUAGCUUUCUCUCUUUAUUAAAUAGACGAAUUGAAUUCCUUCAACUUGCGAAUUGAUGGCCGCAGCUUUUGCUUCAAUUUCUUGUGGGUUUAGUUCAUUAAUUAUGAACUAAUUCUACAAUUCUAGUCAAGGGGACAACUGACGAUUUGGUUCGACAAUUACUGUGAGAUCGAAUCUGUUUUAAUUAUUUUCUUCAUUUAUUGGUAUUUAUAUGUUCCUUGAUUUUAAUUGCUAUGGCCUUGUGUAUGAUUGAUUAGUGCGCAAUAAUUAAUUAUUCAUAUAGGCUAUUUUUUGCUAAAUAGGGGUAAUUGAACCCGUAAUUGUUCGUUAUCUCUACCUCAGUAGCAACUGGCGUAAUUGGGUUUAUGUCAGGGGAGCAUAUGAUCUAGUUUAAACAAACCCUCGUAGCGUGUUUGUUGGUUAGGAUUGGGCCUUUCUAAUUAUUAAUGCAAUCUAGAAAUUAAAUCUUACGGUCGUACCUAGGGUUGUUUUUGGGUUAGAAAAAUAGCUAACGGUCGUACCUUAGCUAUCGAUAAAUUAAGGAAGGGUUGGUUGUUUAUCGCGUGCAUGACAACUAUAACCAAUCUAUUAAUAAAUGUUGGGAUUAUUUUUGCAUCAAUGAUCAGUGCAUGAACCAUUUCUAAAGUAUACCCUUGGCUAGAGUUUCUCUUAGUUAUUUCUUUUAAUUAAUUAUUUUCUGCAGUUAAUUUAUUUAGUUAGCAUUUAAUCCAAAACCCCCCAUACUUUGGACUCUAAAAGAAACAAUUACUCCCAAUCCCUGUGGAUUCGACCCUGCUCACCGCUAUCUACAGAAUUAACUUUAGUUUGAGCAGGUUUUAUUAUUGUACAGGUUCGGCACCUGUCAAUUUUUGGCGCCGCUGCCGGGGACUGGCGCUAGUUAUUUGUUUCUUUUUAAGUUCAUCUUGUUUUCAUUUUUUUUUAUAGUUUAUGGCUGCUAGCAUUCCAUAUUUUGAUGAUAGACCGGACUUUGUUCCUGAAUGGGGUUAUGAGACUCAUGUUCUUCCUAAUGAUCAAUGGGCUGUUGCAAAUUGUGGAACUUAUUUUGACUCAGGUUAUUCAACUGACACAUGCCCCGCAUUUCAAGACAAUCUAAGUGCUCCAAUUGAUACUUUCGGAGAUUUUCCACCCCAAUAUCAAAUGCAGUAUGACCCUUAUUCAAACGGGUAUGAUCAAGGAUGGUGGGAUAAUUCCAGUUUUGAUUAUGCGACCGAGCCAAUGGAUUUUCAACAGCAAGAGUCUCAACAACCAUCGUCCCUGUCAGGGUACCAGCAGCAAUACCAACCCCGACCACCUCCGCCCCCUCAAUCUGGUUCAUCUACGGAGGAGAUGCUGAAACAAAUGAUGACAACCAUGGCGCAAAAUCAGCAAAGGACGGAGGCAGCUAUUUUGCAAAAUCAGCAAACGACGGACUCCGAAAUGCAGGACAUAAGGAAUCAGAUAGGUCAAUUGGCCACCAGAAUGAACCGUUUGGAGUUCCAGAACCAAGGGAAGCUGCCAUCUCAACCGGAGUUGAAUCCGAAGAACGGGAGCGCAAUGAUCCUAAGGAGUGGGAAAGAGGUUCAAGGGACUGAGCCUGUGAUCCCUAAGGACAAGGAUGAGGAGAUGCAAGAAUGUCAAAAUGAGAAAUCUACAGAUGCAGUUGAAAAAGAAGCCGAAAAUGAAGAAAUGGAACCCCAACCGCAACCCAUUCAAGUGGAGGAAUCCAGUGAAGAAUCAUCAAAUGUGGUGACACCACCUCCAUUCCCUAACCCGCAUUUUCUUAACUCUUAUUCCAUGAUUUCUGUUAAUGAGAUUGAUUUUGUUAUACCGGAAGUUUUUGAGUCUCAUGGCAGAAAUAAGUUAAGAGUAGCUAUGGUCAAAUAUCUUGAACCGUUGAGUGCUCUUGAUGGAGGGGUGGAGGAAAAAUUGAGAUCACUGCUUGAUUAUUUGGCACCAUCAACUAAUCCAUGGAAGACCGUAGCUCGUGUGCUCAAGGAUUAUUCUAUUUACGAGGGUUAUCAGGACUAUAUAGAGGAUGAAGCAUUAAGACGAGCUACAAGAUUUUAUCCGCCAUGAGCAAAACGUGAUAAUGUCUAGCCAAAGACAUUAAAGAAAUGCGUUCAUUGGGAGGCAACCCAAUUUCUUUUAGUUGUUUGUUUGAUUUUAUUUGUUAGUUUAAAUAUGUUUUUCCUUGAAUUCGACUGAUUUUGGGUUUCAGUUUUCGUUUUUGCUGAUUUAUAGGUGCCCUUCAGUCAUGGCGUGCCCGCGUGGUGAUGUGCAGGACACUCACGAUCAGAAAUUCUGAAACUUCUGGGAGUUCUCCUGCCCUCUUGACGUGCUCGCGUGGUGAUGUGCAGGACGCUCACGAUCAGGAAAUUCUGAAACUUCUGGGAGCUCUCUUGCUCUUUUGACGUGCCCGCGUCACGUUCGUGGAAAAGAUAAGUAUUCAAAGAAACUCAAGAACGAUUAUUGAUUUUCUGUUAAUCACUACUUUUGAAUUUCAAAAAUAAAUUUUGUCAAUAAUAAAAAAAAAAGAGAGAUGAUAUAUGAAAAAAAAAAGAGGGGGAGUCUUUCCCUGGAAAAAAAAAAUCUAAAAAAAAAAAAAAAAAAAAAAAAAAAAAAAAAAAAAAAAAAAAAAAAAAAAGAAAAAUUUCCCCUUUUUCACCGAAGCUCAGUUUUCCAAAAAAAAAAAAAAUUCUUUUUCCUUCUUUUUCUUUUCUUUCUUUCUUCUUCUUUCUUUCUCUUUUCUUUCUUUCUUUCUUCUCCUCUGUUUUGCUCUGUCCGCCGCCCGUACCAACUGCCAUCUCCAACUCCACCGCGCGCCACCUUCUUCCUCGACCAGACCCCGCGCCGCCAUUCCUCCUUGGCCGCGCCAAAGCCACGGCCGCCGUUGACUGCCACCUGGGAUCUACAGCAGCCCGCGUCUCUCUUCCCCUCUCUCUCUCUCCGCUGCUGUCCACCACCAGAUCGGCUCCAUGGCUGAAGCUCCAUCGGCCAUCGUGCACCCACUCCAGCGCCGCCACCCUCGCGCGCAGCUCCUCUCGAACAGCCCACGCCCACCAAGCAGAGCAGCCCAGCUCGAUCCGCUGGCCUCUUCUCUACCAGCGACGACCAGUUCACAGCCGCCGCGGCCUGCUCCUCUUCUUCUGUCGGCCACCCACGCACCACGCGAAGCCACCAUCAGACUCCACCAGAACUUUUGUUUGGCCACUAUCUUCGGUAGAGGUACUAGCCAUCUUACACUAAUUGGGUUUAUUCCUUGGUCGAAUGGCAUUCCAUUGCUUGGGAGAUUCACUGCUAUUGUAGUGGUAUCCAAUUGCCAAGUUAAAGGUCAACGGUGCUUAUUGGGUUGAUUUGCAUUUUUAAUUUCCUUGAGUUUUUUUUUUAUUUUAUUUAGCCGAGUUCAUUGGUCCUACUAUUGCCUGUUGAAUUGGGUAGCUUAGGCGCUUGGUUUGAUUGUCAAAUCUCUACACUGUCAUUGUUACAAUUGCCAGUUUGGAGUUAGGACCUUAUCUGGCCAACUGGAGCCAGUGCUUAAUUGCCAAUUUGCCGAUUGUCUGUUGCUAAUUGAGAGGUAUCUCGGCUAGUGUUGUGCUUGUUCUAUUGCUGGAAUUCCCGCUUCUGAGUUGAAAAUUAAUUAUCCACUUGGAGACUUUGUUGAGAUUUUGGGUGGACAGAGUUGUGCAUUUGCUGGUUGAAUUGAGUUAUGAUGUCUCAGAACUUGGGCAUGUACUUCACCACGUUGGUUUCCCUCCGCAGCUGCCAAAUACCCUUAGCCACUCGAGAGGGAAGUUUCGUUGUCCUUUUCACUUUAAUUGCUUUAUUUCCUCCAUUGAGGACAAUGUAGGAUCUAGGUGUGGGGGGAGGGACAGCUAUGCCAGUUUUUAGUUUUCAGUUGUCCUUCUUUUAUUUCUAGUUUGUCAUUUGUCUAAUCUUCGUUUACUUUUUUUUUUUUUUUUUUAAUGAAUACCAAAGUUCGAUGUUGGAUUGUUGAUUCUAAUUCUGCUCUUGCCAAGUUUUAAUGAUAAAAGCGUAUUGAGUUGAUGUGGUUGAGUCCAAAAACAUCUCUUUGGUGAAUAUCGAUGAUUGUUUUACUCUUAUAAUUUUUGGUUAACUUUCCUAGGCAUAGGGAAUGAUUAUUGGCAUUUUCAUGUGAAUUGGUUCAGUUAUUAACUUUAGUUCUCCAUGUUUGAAAAUGAGGCUAGCUGAUGCAAGUUUUCUUUUGGUUUUUGUGUUAUAUUGAGUUUUUGUGAUUAUUUGGCUGUGAAUAAGAGUUGACUGUACUCCGCUAGUAUUUACUACCGAGUAACCGGGGGUCUUCACCAAAAGUGUCGAUUCUCGCGUCAAAAAGUAGUAAUUGCUAUGAGUACGUGGUCACGUGGCGAUAGAAGCUGAGUAACCGGGCUCCUUCAUCUGGCCAAUGUUGGAGUUCGCGUCAAAAGGCUCAAAUGGCUAGCGACUAAGUCAUUUGUUACUAUUGAAAAAAAGAAUCAAAAAAAAAGGGAAAAAAAAGAGAAAAGUAGAAAAAAAUGUGAAAAAAGUGAAGGUUGUGUUAGUGUGUAAUAAAAGUUAGCUUGCUGAAUUAUGGAUUUAAUGUUGAGAUUUUGGUUAAUAGUUGGACCAUUUGCUGAUAAAUGUUGCACGUCAUUCCUUUUUCUUAGAUUAGUUAACCUGAAAUUGGAGGAGUUUGUGGUUUAGAAGCUAACCGGAGUGAUAUUUCUUGGACUUGACCAUUGAUGCUUGAAUAUUAUUUUUCUUGGUAUCUUGCCAAUUUGUUGGAUAGAGCAAUAGCCACUAUCAAAUUUUGGUAUUUGUUUACUAUUCUUAUGCUUGAGGACAAGCAUGGUUUAGGUGUGGGGGGAAUUGAUAGGUUGCAAUUUUAUCAUUUAUUUUAUUAUUAAUUUCCCCUAUUAUCUGACCUAAUGUGGAUUAUUUGUUAGAUUCUACUCACUUUUGAUAUUUUGCAUAUAUUUCAGGGAGUAGAACGAAAAUACCAUAAUAAGUGUCAAUUUGAUGAUUAUCAGGAAAGAGUUCAAAUAGCAGGCAAUCAAGGGCAUUCUUGGAACAAGAAAAUGCAAGACCCUAUUGGUAAUUCGACCGAAGACAGCAACUAGAAAAAGGGGAAAAGAAAGCAAACCUCAGGGUCUUCUUCCGCCUGGGAGGAACCGCCGCACAGCAGAGGGCUGUCUGGUCCUCUUAGUUUUUCCGUUUCUUUAGUUUUAGCUUAGGAUUUUGACUUUUCUUCUCGUAGGAAUUUUGGGUAGCCUUUAGCUUAGCAACUUUUGUUGACCCUUUUUUGGCCUUUUAGCUAGUUUGUUCUUACGCAUGGAAGAUGGCUGAAUAGCUGAGGCUUGUUCUUUGUUUUUCUUUGACUUUUCCUUUUGGUUUGCUUCCUGCGGACGCCCAGACCGAAGGAAAACUAUGAAGUCCCUUUUGUAGCUUUCUCUCUUUAUUAAAUAGACGAAUUGAAUUCCUU
rnacentral:lncRNA from 1 species